rnacentral:rRNA from 1 species
UGUAAGCGUAUACCAAAGUUGUUGCAGUUAAAACGCUCGUAGUCGGAAUUUGGCAGUUCCGGAUGUGUGCACGUCGUGUGCGCACUUCGCGGGGAUUGCUUUUGUGGUCUUGCAUAGGAUGAGGCACUUUUAUUAGUGAACGUCCUCACGCAACCACUUUUUACUGUGAGAAAAUCAGAGUGCUCAAAGCAGGCAUUUGCCGUGAAUGUAUUAGCAUGGAAUAAUAGAAUAGGACUUGGUUCUAUUUUGUUGGUUUGUUGGGACUGAGUAAUGAUUAAGAGGGACAGUUGGGGGCAUUUGUAUUUCGGUGCUAGAGGUGAAAUUCUUAGAUUACCGAAAGACAAACUGCUGCGAAAGCGUCUGCCAAGGAUGUUUUCAUUGA